rnacentral:rRNA from 1 species
CAGUAGCCGCGGUAAUACGUAGGUGGCAAGCGUUGUCCGGAAUUAUUGGGCGUAAAGGGCUCGCAGGCGGUUUCUUAAGUCUGAUGUGAAAGCCCCCGGCUCAACCGGGGAGGGUCAUUGGAAACUGGGAAACUUGAGUGCAGAAGAGGGGAGUGGAAUUCCACGUGUAGCGGUGAAAUGCGUAGGGAUGUGGAGGAACACCAGUGGCGAAGGCGACUCUCUGGUCUGUAACUGACGCUGAGGAGCGAAAGCGUGGGGAGCGAACAGGAUUAGAUACCCCGGUAGUCCCUGUCUCUUAUAC